CUCAUAUUAAAAGAUAUAAAAUUUUAAUCAAUAACGAGAGUGACGGGCGAUGUGUACACACUUCAGAGCCAAUAUCAGUUAAAUUAAAUAAUUUAAAUUACUAUCAAAUCCACCUUCAUUAAAAUAUUACAAAAUUAAAUCCAUAAUAAAAAAAAAUUAUUGUAACCCAUCAUACACUUAAUUAUAAGCUGCACCUUGACCUGAAAUAAAUUUUAAUAAAAAAACAAGAAAAUUUUUUCUCCAAAAAGAUUUUCUGAUUAACGGAGAUAUACAAACAAAUAAAUUAAGUAAAGUAAAUCGUGUACUAUCAAUCAUGAGAUAGGUUCCUCUGAAUGGAAUGAAAUACCGCCAAAUUCUUUGGGUUUAAAGACCUUAACUAAUAAUACCCAGGUAAAACAAAAUUUACAUUUAAAAUAAUA
rnacentral:rRNA from 1 species